rnacentral:misc_RNA from 1 species
GAGAGAGACAUGGGGAGACUGUAGGUCCCGCCCCCUUGAUAACGGCACCCUGCCAGUGUGAGGGAGACAGCGCGGCAGUUGUCUUCUCGGCAGUGUUCGGUGUCCUCACGCUUCCCCUUCACGGCGUUCCCACUCGGAUUCCCUCUCCUCCUCGCGCUUGGGGAUCGUAAGCUCUCCUUCGAGCGUGCCAUGAGGAAGGGCGGUGGUGGGGAGCAGACGAGGAGGCUCACUGCACACAGUCCUGAGAGGAGGAGCCCGUGGUGCAGCGGCGGCGGUGUGUGGUGGCGCUAGAGCGCUAGUGAGCUGUACCUCUGGCGGAGGAGGACGGACGCGUGGCUCGCACAACGCUACAGAUGUAGUUCGUGGGAGAGCCUUCAUAUCGGUACUCGCUGCUGCCUUAUGCGCCCUUCACCCAAGGGUUCAGCACUGACCUUUCGAGCCUUCACGACCGCACAAAUCCCGUAGUUCAUAGUUUACUAUUACUCCUCUGGUGGACAGCGACAGGGGGCCUGGAGAUGCUGUAGCCUCCCAAAGGAUAGAGAUCACUGUUGACAUUCCGUAGCCUCCGUAUCGUGGAUGGUAGUUAUAUCCUUCAGUCUACUGGGCAGAAAAGGGCUCUUGUGGCGACAUCCUACGCUGUUGCCCUUCCUAUCACCCUCACACCAAGUUGGGUGGAAACUGCUUCUAAAGGAUCUUUUAUCGAACCGAGGGCUUCCGCCUCCUACGCCUUCUUCCCCUCUUCCCUCUCCUUCGUCCUCUCCAUCCAUUGUCUUGUCGGUGAAGUAGCCCGAAGUCUGCUAUCGUCUUUGGGGAUAAGCGGAUCAUCUCGGGACAGGACAGAGGACGGACGCGGCCGAGUUCAGGACGCGGCCCGUGACAGACAAGCGGACUCCUUCAGCAAGAAGAAGAUGAAAGGAGAGCGAGGGUGCAAGAGACCAACAACCGAAUCCAGAAAAGCCAGGAUUUCAACAUGUGUUAGUUAAUCCGCAGGGAUUUACGAGUUGUAGGAUCCUAGAAAACAGAUAAUCAAUACUUGUGCCUAGAGGAGGAGGAGGCCCGCUCCCCUCCCCUACGGUGAACACUGGUUGCAUUAAGUGGAUUUUUCCCCCGAACUAACUUUGCCAAGUGAUUUUCAUUUUAAAGAUUAGUAGCCGAGGUGUGGCGAAGGAAUCCGAACUCUGAUGUCGACGCUUUAGAAGAGCGUAAGAACUACAGCCGCUUUCGCCCUGGCCGUCUUCACUCAAGGAAUUAUUUGUACAAUCUCCAACACUGACCAGGCAAUAUUCUGACUGGAAUGUAGUUGUGACUUAGUGCCUUAAAGACUGUGUGUGUGUUUGUGUCAUUCCUCUUCUGCUACGCCCGUAUUCGCGUCAGUAAAGAAAGACUAAGAAGAGAUCACAGAAGAAGUCCGUUUUCACAGAGGAUUAGGAGUGCGUGAUAGUGUGCGAAGAAUCGAGUUUCGAGUGCAAGUCAGCAGCAGCAGCAGAGAGAGAGAGGGGCCCCUCACACCGAAGGACCCCUGACACCCACCAGGGACACCGAUACCCGCCAUGGGUGCAUCGACAGCCACCGCGAGGGGAAGCGAUACGCGCCAGGGGAGCUUCUGUGCUUAGCGGGUGAAAAGGAACCCGAAGAGGAGUACGGCGGACAAGGGCGCCCGGGUAAGGGGACCGACCGACCGUUCGAACCCUCGCUUUCCUCACUCGAGCGAGGAUCAGUGUGAUAGACGAAGGGGAAAAGUCUGUGCGAGGUUUGGAGUAUCGUAAACAGUGUUCUGAGAGAGAGUGUGUGUGAGUGAAAGAAGAAAACGAAAAGAAUAACAAACAUUUCGCCGCGGAACGCAAAGCCUGUGCGGUAUGUGGUGGGAUAGAGUGACGAGGGAUUUUGAAGUGUGAUAUAUAUAUGUGUGUGUGUUUUUUUCCCUUCAUGUACGUUCAGUGUUGAUGGUAUAUAAUACCCAAGUUGUGUGUGCGUAGUGUGCCGAGGAUAAAGUUCAUACUUUUGUGAUCUUGGGAUCAGACACGAAGGAAUUUGGUCGUUUGUGUAUUUACCUUGUUGGAAAUAACGAGGAAUAGUGGAUUUUCGAUCGACUCGCCGUCAUGGGAGGCAACAGGAGAAAGCACAGGAGUGAUAGCCUCCUGUUGUGAGCCGCAGCCAGCGAAAGACAGCCAAGUGUACCAACUCAUACUAAACCUCCCGCCCCCAUCACCUCUGUCUUCUGCGGCACCAACGUGUCUUUGGAGGUGAGGGACGGAUGAUGGUGCUAGCUGGUGAGGAGUACAACGUCGUUACCUGCCAUCUUCACACGCUGGUGCAUGAGUGAUUUAGAGGAUGGGCCAGAAUAUGUGUUGCCCCAAGAAGGGGCCGCCACCCCCAAAUCACCCUGGACCGUUUGACCCCAUAGAUCCAGUCGAAAUAAUUGAGGUGACGGAUAUAUUACCUACCAAUGGCGUUCGACCUGAACAUACUUAUUCCAGAACCCAGAACCCAGCAACAAGCUAUCAUGAUGAAGGUAAAGCGGAUGGCAACGCCUCCAUGACACCACCACACGGUGGUGGAGGAAACCCUCGCUAUUAUCCAGACCCGUCCAGAGGCGGCAGACCUGCUUAUAACUCUCAACAACAUGGAGUCGAUGUUAUCCGGUCAAAUUCAGGACAAGGAUUGCCCGCCCAUGGUUGGGUUCAACAGCACCAUGCGAGCCACAUGCGGAUGCGAAAGGAGUCAGUUAGGUGUUCGCAACGAUGGACACCCAGAUCCAACACUCCAGAACCAGUCACGCCAUCGACGCCGUCUCGAGGCCGGGUCGUGGUGGCCAUGUACUCAUUCCAGGGUCGCAGCAAUGGCGAACUCACCUUUGAGAAGGGAGACAGGAUGGAGAUUCUCAAUGAUGCUGAUGCUGACUGGUGGUUGGCACGACAUAUGACACAUGGCAUUGACGGCUAUAUUCCAAAGAACUAUGUAGCAUCCACAUCUUCACUUGAGUGCCAAGACUGGUACUUUGGCAAAAUAGCCAGGAAAGAAGCAGAAAAAUUACUAAUGACACGGGGGAACUUAAGAGGAACUUUUCUCAUCCGUAUGUCGGAACAAUCUAGUCAUGGAUAUUCCCUAAGUAUAAGGGAUUGGGACACUCAAAAGGGAGAACAUGUCAAGCACUACAGAAUCAAGGUCACUGACAAUGGAGGGUUCUUCAUCACCUCGUCACAGGCUUUCCGGACACUCAAUGACCUAGUGGAUGCCUACAAAAGAAACAACUAUGGGUUAGCAUGCCUCUUGCAAUACCCAUGUCCACGUCCACAACCCCAGAAAUGGGAUCUGUCACGAGAGACCAAAGAUCAGUGGGAGAUUGACCGUAAUACUCUUUCCAUGAACAAGAAGCUGGGACAGGGAUCCUUUGGUGAAGUGUGGUAUGGUAUGUGGAACAGUUCUACAGAAGUUGCCAUCAAGACCCUAAAACAAGGAGCAAUGAGUCCUUCUGCCUUCUUAGAAGAAGCCAGAAUUAUGAAAAAAUUACGGCAUCGUAACAUUCUUGUCCUAUACGCUGUUUGUACGAAAGAAGAACCUAUACUAAUAGUCACUGAGUAUAUGUGUAAUGGUGCACUGCUAGAUUUGCUCAGGAAUGAGGGAGAGCGCACCCUCAAACUCAAUGACUUAAUAUAUGUGGCAACGCAGGUUGCUGCAGGUAUGGCUUACCUAGAGGGCAAACAGUUGUUACAUCGGGAUCUUGCUGCCCGUAAUGUAUUAGUAGGUGAUUCUUUGACAUGUAAAGUGGCAGACUUUGGCUUAGCCCGGAUUGUGGAAGGAGAAGACUACUGCCCAAGCACAUGUAAUAAAUUCCCUGUCAAAUGGACAGCACCUGAAGCCAUGCUGUACAACCGCUUUACUAUCAAGUCCGAUGUCUGGUCAUUUGGUAUUCUUCUAAUGGAAGUGAUUACCUAUGGUGCUAACCCAUACCCAGGAAUGAAUAACCGAGAGGUCAUAGAGAAAGUCCAGAUGGGCUACCGAAUGGCCAAGCCUCCACGAGCUCCCGAUGAGUUAUACGAAGUGAUGCUGCAUUGCUGGGAUAAGUAUCCUGAUCAACGACCUACCUUUGACUACUUGCAUCAUUUCUUCGAUGACUACCAGGUCUCCUCCGAAAUACCCUAUCGCGACAUCCACGACUAAUAACAACAUGACCCUGCCUGACCUCCACCCUCUAAUUCAGACCCUCCCAGGCCAGGACAACCUGGGUAAAAAACAGUCAGGAUGAGCAAUCGAGAAGUAACAGAAGUAGUCCCCAGCGGGUACCGCAUGAGUAAGCCACUCUCAAAAUAUUGCCCUGACCAGCUCUAUGAGCUCAUGUGUCAGUGCUGGAAACUGGACCC